rnacentral:rRNA from 1 species
AGUGAACGCUGGCGGUAGGCCUAACACAUGCAAGUCGAACGGCAGCACAGUGAGAGCUUGCUCUUACGGGUGCGCGUGGCGGACGGGUGCGGAAUACAUCGGAAUCUACUUUUUUGUGGGGGAUAACGUAGGGAAACUCACGCUAAUACCGCAUACGACCUCUGGGUGAAGGCAGGGGAACUUCGGACCUUGCGCGAGAGAAUGAGCCGAUGUCGGAUUAGCUAGUUGGCGGGGUAAAGGCCCACCAAGUCGACGGUCCGUAGCUGGUCUGAGAGGAUGAUCAGCCACAUUGGAACUGAGCCACGGACCAGACUCCUAAGGGAGGCAGCAGUGGGGAAUAUUGGACAAUGGGCGCAAGCCUGAUCCAACCAUACCGCGUCGGUGAAGAAGGCCCUCGGGUUGUAAAGCCCUUUUGUUGGGAAAAAAAAGCAGCCGGUUAAUACCCCGCUGUUCUGACGGUACCCAAAGAAUAAGCACCGGCUAACUUCGUG